rnacentral:rRNA from 1 species
UACGGAGGAUGCAAGCGUUAUCCGGAAUGAUUGGGCGUAAAGCGUCCGCAGGUGGCAAUGUAAGUCUGCUGUUAAAGAGUCUAGCUCAACUAGAUAAAAGCAGUGGAAACUACAUAGCUAGAGUACGUUCGGGGCAGAGGGAAUUCCUGGUGUAGCGGUGAAAUGCGUAGAGAUCAGGAAGAACACCAGUGGCGAAGGCGGCAUCCUGGACCAAUAUUGACGCUGAGGAGCGAAAGCCAGGGGAGCAAACGGG